rnacentral:lncRNA from 1 species
UUUGGUUCCAAAACAAAUGGAGCAUAGAGUAAUUGGAGCAUAUCAAUAGCAUAGGAAAUGUUCCGGAGCAUAUCAAUGACAUAUGGAACAUUUCGGAGCAUGCCAAUAACAGAUGAAAAAUUUCGGAGCAUAUCAACAAUCAAUGAAACGUUUCGGAGCAUAUCAAUAACAAAUGAAACGUUUCGGAGCUUAUCAAUGGCGUAUAAAAU